rnacentral:rRNA from 1 species
GCCCUUAGAGUUUGAUCCUGGCUCAGGAUGAACGCUAGCUACAGGCUUAACACAUGCAAGGCGAGGGGCAGCAUGGUCUUAGCUUGCUAAGGCUGAUGGCGACCGGCGCACGGGUGAGUAACACGUAUCCAACCUGCCGUCUACUCUUGGCCAGCCUUCUGAAAGGAAGAUUAAUCCAGGAUGGGAUCAUGAGUUCACAUGUCCGCAUGAUUAAAGGUAUUUUCCGGUAGACGAUGGGGAUGCGUUCCACUAGAUAGUAGGCGGGGUAACGGCCCACCUAGUCAACGAUGGAUAGGGGUUCUGAGAGGAAGGUCCCCCACAUUGGAACUGAGACACGGUCCAAACUCCUACGGGACGCAGCAG